rnacentral:rRNA from 1 species
CCUACGGGUGGCAGCAGUGAGGAAUAUUGGUCAAUGGGCGCGAGCCUGAACCAGCCAAGUAGCGUGAAGGAUGACUGCCCUACGGGUUGUAAACUUCUUUUAUAAAGGAAUAAAGUGAGGCACGUGUGCCUUUUUGUAUGUACUUUAUGAAUAAGGAUCGGCUAACUCCGUGCCAGCAGCCGCGGUAAUACGGAGGAUCCGAGCGUUAUCCGGAUUUAUUGGGUUUAAAGGGAGCGUAGAUGGGUUGUUAAGUCAGUUGUGAAAGUUUGCGGCUCAACCGGAAAAUUGCAAUUGAUACUGGCAGGCUGGAGUGCAGUUGAGGUAGGCGGAAUUCGUGGUGUAGCGGUGAAAUGCUUAGAUAGCACGAAGAACUCCGAUUGCGAAGGCAGCUUACUAAGCUGCAACUGACAUUGAUGCUCGAAAGUGUGGGUAUCAAACAGGAUUAGAUACCCUAGUAGUC